rnacentral:tRNA from 1 species
GCCUCAGUAGCUUAACGGUUAGAGCACCUGACUUGUAAUCAGGAGGUUGGGAGUUCAAAUCUCCCCUGAGGCU